rnacentral:rRNA from 1 species
UACAGAGGGGGCAAGCGUUGUUCGGAAUUACUGGGCGUAAAGGGCGCGUAGGCGGCCCACUAAGUCGAACGUGAAAUCCCCGAGCUCAACUCGGGAACUGCGUCCGAUACUGGUGGGCUUGAAUCCGGGAGAGGGAUGCGGAAUUCCAGGUGUAGCGGUGAAAUGCGUAGAUAUCUGGAGGAACACCGGUGGCGAAGGCGGCAUCCUGGACCGGCAUUGACGCUGAGGCGCGAAAGCUAGGGGAGCAAACGGG